GAUGAACGCUGGCGGCGUGCCUAACACAUGCAAGUCGAACGGAGAUUAUAGACGGAAGUUUUCGGAUGGAAGUUUGUAAUUCUUAGUGGCGGACGGGUGAGUAACGCGUGGGCAACCUGCCCUAUACAGGGGGAUAGCAGCUGGAAACGGCUGGUAAGACCGCAUAAGUCGGCGAAACCGCAUGGUUUUGUCGGGAAAUGAGCAAUCAGGUAUAGGAUGGGCCUGCGUCCGAUUAGCCAGUUGGCAGGGUAAAAGCCUACCAAAGCAACGAUCGGUAGCCGGACUGAGAGGUCGGACGGCCACAUUGGGACUGAGGCACGGCCCAAACUCCUACGGGAGGCAGCAGUGGGGGAUAUUGCACAAUGGAGGAAACUCUGAUGCAGCGACGCCGCGUGAGUGAAGAAGUAUUUCGGUAUGUAAAGCUCUAUCAGCAGGGAAGAUGAUGACGGUACCUGACUAAGAAGCCCCGGCUAACUACGUGCCAGCAGCCGCGGUAAUACGUAGGGGGCAAGCGUUAUCCGGAUUUACUGGGUGUAAAGGGAGCGCAGGCGGUUUUGCAAGUUGAGAGUGGAAGCAAGGGGCUCAACCCCUUGACUGCUCCCAAAACUGUAAAACUUGAGUAUGGGAGAGGCAGGCGGAAUUCCUAGUGUAGCGGUGAAAUGCUUAGAUAUUAGGAAGAACACCGGUGGCGAAGGCGGCCUGCUGGACCAAAACUGACGCUGAGGCUCGAAAGCGUGGGUAGCAAACAGG
rnacentral:rRNA from 1 species